GCUGUGAUGAACAAAAUGGAGAUGAUCUAACAGAGAGAUGACUCUUUCUCUAAGAAGUUCUGAGCUG